ensembl:lncRNA
CUUAUUAUUAACACUGCUCCAUCACCACCUCUCUCUAUAACAACAACCAUGACAAAAAAAUAUAUAUUUUAACUUAUUUUUGUUUUACAUUUUUACCCAACUCUUUAGCCUUUGUAGCAAGCUUUUUUAGAGCCUCUACACGUUUCUUUAGGAAUUUGCGCCUGGCACUCACAGCUGCUGCCACAAUGGCAUCUUUUGACAUUUUCUUGCUGGCCGUUGGCUUCGCAGAGUGAUAAGGCCUUUUGUUCAGUUCUUCUUUAUUUCUGAGCAGAGCUCUGUACCUUUGGCUUGAUAGUUUUACAUUUCUGCACAGCUUUACAUUAACAGGACUCUCCUUUGUCUUCCGGGAGUAGUGCUGAAUGGCCGACACCUGCAUGGCCUUCAGGUUGUAUUUGACCACUUGAUAGGACUAAUAUGUCUCAACACUUAGGUUGGAAGCUUUGGCUUGCAGGAUGUUGGACAUUACACUGAAUGCUGAUAGUAGCUAACUUAACUAACGUUAUCUUAUUAUUAUAUAAGUUAGCUAGCAAAUACAAAAGCUAGCAAAUACAAAUAAUGUUAAUGAAGCUUAACCUACGUGAAUAAAACAUCCUGCCAUAGUGGAAAAUCAAUAAAAAUCGAUUUUCGACAUCUAAUCAACCGACAACAAAGUUAAAUUAGUAACUAUAGGUUAUAUUAAGACACAAGCAUUAAUACAUACCCAGAUCAUCCGAUCCAGCGAUGUUCUUGUCACUGUAGUCGAGCGAGAGCGACUGAGGUAAAUUACUACGCAGCAGAGAAAUUGAGCAGAUCUGCAUGAUUCACGUAAAUCACAUUUUCAGAUCGGAAAAUCCGGAAUUCCGGAUUAAUCCGGAAAAAUCACAUCCCUGAAUGUUAAUGUCAUAAGGUAAGUGAGUGUGCUUACAUAUGCACUGACCCAAGAUUCAAGGAUGAGAAGUAUGAAAAAUAAAGAGUUGCUUAGCCCCAAUACUCCGUUGUGAGGAAACAGGGCUGUAGAUACACAGGAUAUGACAACACAAGGAAAGGGGGAAAUGUUGGAAGGAAAAAGUUAACAAAUACCUAAAAUUUAAACAAAUAACGCAUCACUAAGGGGACAAUUCGACACUUCA